rnacentral:rRNA from 1 species
AUUGAACGCUGGCGGAAUGCUUUACACAUGCAAGUCGAACGGUAGAGGGGGCAACCCCUUGAGAGUGGCGAACGGGUGAGUAAUAUAUCGGAACGUGCCCAGUCGUGGGGAUAACGUAGCGAAAGUUACGCUAAUACCGCAUACGAUCUAAGGAUGAAAGCGGGGGAUCGCAAGACCUCGCGCGAUUGGAGCGGCCGAUAUCAGAUUAGGUAGUUGGUGAGGUAAAGGCUCACCAAGCCGACGAUCUGUAGCUGGUCUGAGAGGACGACCAGCCACACUGGGACUGAGACACGGCCCAGACUCCUACGGGAGGCAGCAGUGGGGGAAUUUUGGACAAUGGGCGCAAGCCUGAUCCAGCAAUGCCGCGUGCAGGAUGAAGGCCUUCGGUUGGUAACU